rnacentral:piRNA from 1 species
UAGCCCUUAUUCAAAAUGGAGUCGCUCUG